AGCUCUUCCACAGUGAAUUCAAUCCAUUAGGAUGUGGAGCAGUUGGAUAUGGAGUGAUUGGGAUCCCAAAAAUCAGAGCUGGAUCUGGCAGGAACAGCCUUGGAACAGGACUUGUCCUCUCAGGGAAUUGUGUCAAUAAUUAUCAUGGAAUCAUGGAAUGGAGCUGGAAGUGACCUAAAGGAUCAUCAAGUCCUGCACAGGACAACCCCAAAAUCCCACCAUGUGCCUGAGGGCGUUGUCCAAACACUCCAAGGAUAUUCCUGCACCUCAGGAAGGAAGUCGUCGGAGUGGUCCAACUGGCAGGUCAGCGAAACAUGGCGCAGCUGGAGGCUGCCCUGACAGAAUUAUGGAUUGCAGAUGUUGCCUGGGAGCUGCUGGGAUUCUGAGCAGGGCCAGGAGUCCCUGGGGUGGCUGUGGAGCUGCUUCCCGAGCCUUGGGGAAGAGGGGCUGGUUUUCCACUCCAAAUGAACUUUUAACCCUUUGGGGUUUGCUCUGUGUUUAACCUGUGGGGUUUGCUCUGGAGACAGGUGACAGAGAGCAGGAAAGGCAAAGGAGAUCCAGAUCCUGCUCCCUCUCUUCUCAGCAGGGAUUUCCCCAUGGAAAGGGCGGUCAGGGAUUGGCACUGCCCAGGCAGGUUGGAGUCCCCAUCCCUGGAAGUGCCCAAGGAAUGGCUGGACGUGGCACCGGUGACAAGGUGGGGAUCAGGGCCAGCUGGGACCCGGUGACCUUGGAGGGCUUUUCCAACCUCAGUGAUCUGGGAUUCUCCACGCACACGUGGGGAGUCCCACAGAAACGUGGCUUCAGGGCUUGGACAUCCCCCCCCAGCAGGGGUGGCACCUCAGAAUUUGGUGUCAGCAGACAUCCUAAGCCAUCAGGGACUGCAGGAGGCCAA